AGGGAUCUCCAGCCUGGUAAACCCGCAGCCCUUGGUAGAGGCCCAGAAAAGCUACCUGUACUUUAGAUCAAUUAUUCUGUCAUCUGCCAUUGUUUCGGUUAAUUAAAGUGACCCAGGGAAGAUAGAACAUCCAUGAAUAUGUAAUGGAACCCUGCUAAUUCCUGAAUAAGAAUAAGAAAUGUAAAGUCAUUACUCAUCCACCAAAAGCAGCUGAAGGAUCUGUGCACAUCUGCUGCUCCAGUGUCCCAGACUGCAUAGUGCAAAUUGCAGUAGGAGACUUCAAAACAGCCAGCACAGCAUACAGCAGCAGGACUUCAAGAGAAGUGAGAAUCACACUUACAGUGGACAGCCUGGCAGCUACUGAGGGUUACAUUUAAAGACCUUUCAUAAAUGAGCACCCAUGAACUUACAUGUAAUGACAGCAUUCCACUGUGUUAGUACAAGAGCACCCUCCCAUGGUGGUAAUGAUAUUUUAGAUGUUAUACACCUCAAAUGAUCCAUAAUAAAGUUGUACCUGAUGUAACUACCUCUUCCAAUACCACUGCCACUGGGGAGGGUCCUGAACCUUCUUCUCAACUCCUCGCCUCCCUAUGAAAGGGAGAUCUAGGGGCCCACUCUAUCAAGCCUCAUGCAACUACUUUCCUCGUACCCCAUUGGCCAUUUCACCUUCUGCACUCCUUGCUUACUGUGCCCGUACUCUACACACCCCUCACUGGAGAGGUCUGAAGGGGUCAGUAAUGUACUUCUAUCUAUCUGGGAGAAUCUGAGUGGCUAGAGGAUUUUUUUUCAGUAAUCUUUGGAAUGGUCAUUGUCUGGCAGUGUCCUUCCCUCUCCCCACAGUCACGCCCUAGGCAAGGUCACUGCUUGUGUCCUCCUUCUAGCAUAUUUUAGGGAUCAAGAGCACCAGUGAUGAUUCCCAGAAAGUGCCAAGAAAUUCUUCAGUAUACUUUUGCCAUUAUAAAAAUACUAAACAAUUAAUUGUCUUCUUACAGUUAACAUGGAGAUCACUUUGCUAAUAAUAUACCUGGUCAAUAUUUUAUCCGAAAGUUUUUUCCCUCUAAAUAUUGCCUUUUUUUAAAAAAUGAAAAUUUUAGUAAAAAACUGAUUAUUUUCCAAAAUAUUUCAUUUAGAAUAAUUGUGACUUUAUCAACUUUUUUAUGGAAGUCAUUACUGAAACUUACCAAAAAGAAAGAGAACAAAACAAGGAAACACCAACAGGUUUUGAUAAAUGAAAAAUUCUGUUCGUUUCCAUAACAGUUUUGAUACAUAUUUUUUUUUU